rnacentral:rRNA from 1 species
GAAUGGCGGUGCCUAUUCAUGCAAGUCGAGCGGACAGAUGGGAAGCUUGCUCCCUGAUGUUAGCGGCGGACGGGUGAGUAACACGUGGGUAACCUGCCUGUAAGACUGGGAUAACUCCGGGAAACCGGGGCUAAUACCGGAUGGUUGUCUGAACCGCAUGGUUCAGACAUAAAAGGUGGCUUCGGCUACCACUUACAGAUGGACCCGCGGCGCAUUAGCUAGUUGGUGAGGUAACGGCUCACCAAGGCGACGAUGCGUAGCCGACCUGAGAGGGUGAUCGGCCACACUGGGACUGAGACACGGCCCAGACUCCUACGGGAGGCAGCAGUAGGGAAUCUUCCGCAAUGGACGAAAGUCUGACGGAGCAACGCCGCGUGAGUGAUGAAGGUUUUCGGAUCGUAAAGCUCUGUUGUUAGGGAAGAACAAGUGCCGUUCAAAUAGGGCGGCACCUUGACGGUACCUAACCAGAAAGCCACGGCUAACUACGUGCCAGCAGCCGCGGUAAUACGUAGGUGGCAAGCGUUGUCCGGAAUUAUUGGGCGUAAAGGGCUCGCAGGCGGUUUCUUAAGUCUGAUGUGAAAGCCCCCGGCUCAACCGGGGAGGGUCAUUGGAAACUGGGGAACUUGAGUGCAGAAGAGGAGAGUGGAAUUCCACGUGUAGCGGUGAAAUGCGUAGAGAUGUGGAGGAACACCAGUGGCGAAGGCGACUCUCUGGUCUGUAACUGACGCUGAGGAGCGAAAGCGUGGGGAGCGAACAGGAUUAGAUACCCUGGUAGUCCACGCCGUAAACGAUGAGUGCUAAGUGUUAGGGGGUUUCCGCCCCUUAGUGCUGCAGCUAACGCAUUAAGCACUCCGCCUGGGGAGUACGGUCGCAAGACUGAAACUCAAAGGAAUUGACGGGGGCCCGCACAAGCGGUGGAGCAUGUGGUUUAAUUCGAAGCAACGCGAAGAACCUUACCAGGUCUUGACAUCCUCUGACAAUCCUAGAGAUAGGACGUCCCCUUCGGGGGCAGAGUGACAGGUGGUGCAUGGUUGUCGUCAGCUCGUGUCGUGAGAUGUUGGGUUAAGUCCCGCAACGAGCGCAACCCUUGAUCUUAGUUGCCAGCAUUCAGUUGGGCACUCUAAGGUGACUGCCGGUGACAAACCGGAGGAAGGUGGGGAUGACGUCAAAUCAUCAUGCCCCUUAUGACCUGGGCUACACACGUGCUACAAUGGACAGAACAAAGGGCA